rnacentral:rRNA from 1 species
AGAGUUUGAUCAUGGCUCAGAGCGAACGCUGGCGGCAGGCCUAACACAUGCAAGUCGAGCGGGCACCUUCGGGUGUCAGCGGCAGACGGGAGAGUAACACGUGGGAACGUGCCCUUUGGUUCGGAACAACCCAGGGAAACUUGGGCUAAUACCGGAUAAGCCCUUACGGGGAAAGAUUUAUCGCCGAAGGAUCGGCCCGCGUCUGAUUAGCUAGUUGGUGGGGUAAUGGCUCACCAAGGCGACGAUCAGUAGCUGGUCUGAGAGGAUGAUCAGCCUCACUGGGACUGAGACACGGCCCAGACUCCUACGGGAGGCAGCAGUGGGGAAUAUUGGACAAUGGGCGCAAGCCUGAUCCAGCCAUGCCGCGUGGGUGAUGAAGGCCCUAGGGUUGUAAAGCCCUUUCGGCGGGGAAGAUAAUGACGGUACCCGCAGAAGAAGCCCGGCUAACUUCGUGCCAGCAGCCGCGGUA